rnacentral:rRNA from 1 species
UACGUAGGAGGCGAGCGUUGUCCGGAAUUAUUGGGCGUAAAGGGCAGGUAGGUGGUCUCAUUUGUCUGGGGUGAAAGCCUUGAGCUUAACUCAAGAAGUGCCCCAGAAACGGUGAGACUGGAGUCCUGGAGAGGGUCGUGGAAUUCCCGGUGUAGCGGUGAAAUGCGUAGAGAUCGGGAGGAACACCAGAGGCGAAGGCGGCGACCUGGUCCGAGACUGACGCUGAGGCGCGAAAGCGUGGGGAGCAAACAGG